GAUGAAGAACGUAGCGAAAUGCGACACGUAGUGUGAAUUGCAGAAUUCAGUGAAUCAUCGAAUCUUUGAACGCACAUUGCGCCCUUUGGUAUUCCAAAGGGCAUGCCUGUUCGAGCGUCAUUUGUACCCUCAAGCUUUGCUUGGUGUUGGGCGUCUUGUCUCCAGUCCGCUGGAGACUCGCCUUAAAGUCAUUGGCAGCCGGCCUACUGGUUUCGGAGCGCAGCACAAGUCGCACUCUUUUCCAGCCAAGGUCAGUGUCCAACAAGCCUUUUUUCAACUUUUGACCUCGGAUCAGGUAGGGAUACCCGCUGAACUUAAGCAUAUCAAUAAGCGGAGGA
rnacentral:misc_RNA from 1 species